UAUUUUUGGGCCCACCGGGUAAACAAGUGACGGGCAGCUCCGGGCUCUGCCUUAAUGCGACUUGGCAAGUGUCAGGACUCCAGUGUUACGGCUGCAACAUCGUGGUUGGCACCAAAAACGUGGACAUGGGGUGCUCCAACCCCGAGGUGAUCACCUGCUCCCAGUCCCACCAGGGCUUCAAGCACCGGUUCUGCAUUAAAACAGAGAGCGGUGAGUUCACCCCUGUUGGAAUUUGUGGGUAUUGGUGAUUCUGAGAUUGUAGAAAGUCUCUGUCUUUCUGCCCCACUGCCAAAGCAGAAGCCAUAAUUCGUUUGUGCUGUUUCAAGGUUGUUUAUUCUGUUUAUCUCUACCAUGUUCUGCUGCCCUGCCGCAGCUCUGUCCUGCAGGGCAGCGUGUGGGGCUCUGCCCUCAGUGGGAUGGUACAAACAUUAAAUACCACAAACUACCUGUGCU
rnacentral:lncRNA from 1 species